UACAGAGGGUGCGAGCGUUGUUCGGAAUUAUUGGGCGUAAAGAGCGUGUAGGCGGCCAUGUAGGUCCGUUGUGAAAACUCGAGGCUCAACCUCGAGACGCCGAUGGAAACCAUGUGGCUAGAGUCCGGAAGAGGAGAGUGGAAUUCCUGGUGUAGCGGUGAAUGCGCAGAUAUCAGGAAGAACACCGGUGGCGAAGGCGGGUCUCUGGGACGGUACUGACGCUGAGACGCGAAAGCGUGGGGAGCGAACAGG
rnacentral:rRNA from 1 species